CGCGCUCCCGCCUAGGGGAGGAGCGCGCACACGCGUCCCCUCCUGGCUGGUGCGUGAAGGUGGAAGGAGGUAGGUUGCGCCGCCCUGUGCUGGCGUUAAAUCUACAGGUCGGAAUAGGGAAAAAGAGCUCUGGACCCUUCGCCCGCCAGGGUAGUACAGCUGCCACCCGGCCCCCAACCUGGGGCCAAGCCCACAUCUGGAGCUCGUUCUGAAAGGUGUAUACAUGGAGGCUGCCAUUGCAUCAAGGUAAUUUUCCACAUGGGAAAAUUGCCUCGAAGACAUUUACCUUUUGGAAUCCAGCUGCUGCAUAAAGAAGUCUGACAUAUCCUGCUGGAAAGACCAAAUGGAGGAGGAGGCCCCAGCCAACAGCCCCAGCUAACUGCCAGACAUGCAUGACACCGUCUUGGACCAUCCAGGCCCAAUUGAGCCCCAGAUGGCAGCAUUGGGGUCGAAAGCACUAGCUGUAGACCCAGACUGCCUGGAUUUGAGUCUUUAUACUGUCAUUUAUUAGGUGUGUAACCUUGAGCUGAUCAACCUUUCUGUGGUUGCCCAUCUGUUUAAUGGGAAGAAGAACAUGUUCAGUUUGCUCACCUGUUAAAUAGGGAUAAGGACAUCUGCUUUGUAAUGUUGUAGUGAAACCAAAUUAAUACAUAUAAAGCAUUUCAAACAGCAUCUGAUACAUGACAAGCAUGCAAUAAAUACUAGCUAUUAUCGAAAUGCCCAUAGACCUCUCAAAUCUCUAGGAUUAUGUCUUUGGACCCUCAUUUGAGAAAUGCCCACCUAGCUAUCUGUCAUUUAAUACAUGGAUGUGUAUUAACUGGAUCCCCUAACCACUUCCUUUUCUGAACAGCUGAAUAUCCUAAAUAUGAAUGAAUGAAGGAGCUAGGGAGGGAGAUGAUUUGGGGAUCGUUUAUGGGGCUGUGGAGAGGUAUAGGAUAGAGUAGGCCUACAUGCAGGUGGCAAAGGGGAAGUUCCGAGGAAAUAUGAUGGUGCUGAAGAGGAAAUGCUAGCUGGCUGGAGGGGGUUACGGAAAUGGAAGACAGAAGGAAGGCCCAGAAGGCCAAUUUGGCCUGGCUUCAGCCCAGCCUGUUCUUCGCUUUUAAAGAGGACAGCCAUCAUACCUCAGUUAACAAUCACAGUUUCCUCCUCAUGAAAAAUUGCUGCUGAAUCAUCAGUUCAUGGCAAGCUGCAUCAUAUAAAUACACUCCAGAGCUCCUGGCUCCUCUGUUGCUAGCAGGACACACAGCUGUUUGCUGCCUGCCAUUGAUGAAACUUUAUACACUCAGCUAUUCUGCUUUAAAAUUCUUGAAAUUGUUGCUUUACCUGGUAGAACCUUUAACCAUUUCUUCUGCCCAUAUUUUUGCAAUUUCCACAUUGCAUUUCACAUCCAUCAAGUUCCUGCCUUAGUUUCCUGACCCCUGGAAGGCCUCUGCCCCCACCAUAGUGGUGGUGAAUAAAUUGUUUCUUCACAAUGGAAACCACAAAGUCUUAUUAGAAAAAUUAAAGAAGACUUAAAUAAGUGGAGGGAAAUACCAAUUCAAGAUUGAAAAACUCAGUAGUAUAAGAUGUUGGUUCUCCCUAAAUGCAUUUGUCAGGGUUCUCCAGAGAAACACAACCAAUAGGAUAUAGAAAUAUAUGCAGAAAGAGAUUAAUCAUGAGGAGUCAGCUGGUAUGGUUAUGGAGGCUGAGAAGUUUCAUUAUCUGCUGUCUGCAAGCUCAAGGCCCAGGAAAGCUGGUGGUAUAAUUUAGUCCAAGUCUGAUAGCCUGAGAACCAGGGGGUCACAAGUGUAAGUCCCAGUCCAAGUCUGAAGGCCUGAGAACCAGGAGCACCAAUGUCCAAGGGCUGGAGGAGACAGAUGCCUCGGCUCAGGCAGAGAUAGUAUUUUUACCCUUCUUCUGCCUUUUUCUUCUAUUUCAGCCUCUGUGUAUUAGAUGAUGCCCACCCACAUUGGUGAAUGUGAUCUUCUUUACUCAGCCUACCCGUUCAGAUGCUGAUCUCCUCCAGAAAUACCCUUGCCAACAUACCCAGAAAGAAUAUUUUACGAGUUACCUGGGCAUCCCUUGGCCCAGUCAAGUUGACACAUAAAAUUAAUCAUCACACCAAAUUAAUCUAUGAAUUCAGUGUGAUCCCAAUCAAAAUCCCAGCUGGGUUUGUGUGUCUAUAUGUGCAUGUAUGGAAACUGUCAAACUGAUGUGAAAAUUCACAUUGAAAUACAAAUAGAUAUAGCAUAUCAGAAAGAGGAUUGAUCCCCUGAGCUCAAAUCCCAACGCCUGCUAGCUGUAUCAAUUUGGACAUGUUGCUUAUCACUCUAAGCCUUUGUUUUUUGGUUUUGGUUUUGGUUUGAUUUUUAUGAAAAUCUACCUCACAGAAUCAUGCAGGUAAAAUGAGACAAUGUAUGUUUUGAAAAAGAAAGACACAGUACCUAACAUGUAGUAGAUGUUCAACAAAUGACAGGUAGUAUUAAAAAGCCUCAAGAUUUAAAAACUAGUGUUAGCAGUAGACCAUAUACUUAGAAGUGUCAGAGACUAAUUCAACUUUAAAGCUAAAAGAAAGAGAACACAACUAGGAUCUCUGUUUUCUCAGUUUUCCUUCACUCAACAACCCCUUGCAUUCUAGCUGUACAGGUUUCAAAGGAAGAAGUUUGGAUGUGUAAAUUUGGGAGUCAUCAACAUCCAGGUAUCACUUAAAGCUAUAAGCUGAUCAGGUUGCCAUUGGGAUAAAGAUAGAGAUGAGCAGAGAGUCUGGUCCUGACUCUGGGACUCCUCAUGGAUGAGAGCUUGUAAGAGACACAGGAGGCAACAAGGUAGGAGGAAAACUGGAGAAUGGUGAGGUUUAUGGCCUGAAAUGAUGUUCACCUAAUGUAAGAUUGGUCAUUUUUGUUGUUGGAAACUUGGGUGAUUUUUGUAACUUUCUCCUUUGCAUUUGUCUCUCUUGCUUGAAUUGUUUAUGAUAAGCAUAUACAAUUUAAACAAAAACAAAGCAAGUAACUAUGGAAUUCUUUUGGUAUAAAAUACCUGAGAAAUCCUAAAUAAAUCUCAAACAGACAA